ACACCGACUCCAAACAAUUUUGUUGAUAAUGGUAAAUGCUUAUAAGCAAUUUUUCAUUUAGUGUUUUCGUGGUUUAUGUGAUAAAAUAAAACUUUUUAGUUGAAUAUAUUAUUGAAGGAACGUACUAUUUAAGAGGUUUUUAUUAGUUUUUCACCAGGACCUUUUUGUUUUUUUUUCAGAUCCUUUUGUUGUUAAGAAAAUAAUGGCUUUUAAACAUGUCCUAAAGCUUUCCAGCAUCAGUGCUUUUAUAGAUGACAUAACAAAAUUAUAAAAAGGGGUGAAAACGCCUUAGAGUCCACUCAUGUGAAGAAAAUGGAGUUUGACUCUGAUUUGCAGAUAAUCAGAGAAGUAUUUGCUAGUAUGAAAGACAAAAGCUACAAGGUAUCUAUAGUGUUGGAAAACAAUGGUGACAUUAAAGAAGCCACCUGCACUUGUGCCAGGGGUAUAAAAUGCCAUCACAUUGCGGCGUUGGCACUUUUUGGGCAUUACAAUAUAUCUGUAACAGAUAAAGCAUGUGCAAGGAAGACACUACCUAAACUGAAGGUUGGGCCAGUGAAAUCUGCAGAAGAGCUUUACCCACCAAAGCCUUAUACACCUCUUGAAAGUGGGGUACCAGAAGCAACAAUCAACAGAUUGAAGGAAAGGCUACACAGCUUUGGAAAUACUGUUGGUUUUACCUGGCUAUUGAACGAGGAAUCAAUAAAUUUACUGGAAAAUGGAUUUCCGGUAAUUGAAGAAAUAAUUUCUUCCAAGGACUAUUUGUAGGCCACAGAUAAACUGAAUGUGUUCAAAGAAAAGUGUGCUGUUGAUUAUCAGCUAAUAAAAGAAAACUCUGUCACCACUACUGGUCAGGUGUCAAAUGAAAAAUGGUACCUUGCAAGAAAAUUUAGAUAUUAACUGCUAGCAAUUUUUGUGCUAUUAUUGCAGCAUGGAGGAGAAACAGAUUCCUAGUGAGUUUGUUCAACACACUCUUAGGUGAAUACAAUUUGGAUGGUAUCAAAGCAAUCCAGUGGGGUGAGAAAGAUGCUCUAGAUCAUUUGAAGCAGAUUUAUAAUUUAGAUGUUCGGUCAACUGGAGUAUGGCUUACAAAUUCAGGACUUCUGAUGCUAGCCCUGAUGAAAUAAUUGAUGAAGAAGAAGCCAUUGUGCAGGGCCCAUAUUCUUUUAGAAAUGAUAAGUUGUCCGAAAAAUUGAGAAAUUUUAAUAAAUAUAUAGUUUUUUAUGACGAUGAUUGUAGACGAUUCAUGGAAAGAAAACAUUUCACUCUUGGAAAAUGUCUAUAUAGAACAAUACUUAUAAGUUGUUAGACAAUUAAAUAAAAAUUUUUGACAUGUUUUUCAAUGUGAUUCUAGGUUAUUCUACAGUGUUAGCAGAUAAAGUAUACAGUUGGAAAAAUCUUUACUAUUUAUUUUAGACUGAAAAGCCACUCUAUACAAAUUUUUGUUUGCUGAAGAUAUCAGGAAAUUAUGUUUUUUAAUAUAAAUGUACAAUGCUAUUUUGUCAAUAAAGAUUUUUGAAACAAA